AGGACGAACGCUGGCGGCGUGCUUAACACAUGCAAGUCGAACGCACCUUCGGGUGAGUGGCGGACGGGUGAGUAACGCGUAGGUAAUCUACUCUUCAGUGGGGGAUACCCAGCCGAAAGUUGGUUAAUACCGCAUACGCUCCUGUGCAGAGAGGUACAGGAGGAAAGGUUUACUGCUGAGGAAUGAGCCUGCGUCCGAUUAGCUAGUUGGUGGGGUAAAGGCUCACCAAGGCGACGAUCGGUAGCUGGUCUGAGAGGACGAUCAGCCACACUGGAACUGAGACACGGUCCAGACUCCUACGGGAGGCAGCAGUGGGGAAUUUUCCGCAAUGGGCGAAAGCCUGACGGAGCAACGCCGCGUAGGUGAUGAAGUUUUUCGGAACGUAAAACCCUUUCGCCAGGGACGAAGCGAGUGACGGUACCUGGAGAAGAAGCAUCGGCUAACUACGUG
rnacentral:rRNA from 1 species